AUUUGUCUAGGAAGAGCUGGCUGAUCGCUACUGAUGUGCAUUUUUCCCUCUGAGC
rnacentral:snoRNA from 1 species